CCUACGGGUGGCAGCAGUGAGGAAUAUUGGUCAAUGGCCGGAAGGCUGAACCAGCCAUGCCGCGUGAAGGUCAGUGCCCUAUGGGCGUUAAACUUCUUUUGUGCGGGAGCAAUAAUGGUCACGUGUGGCCAGACGAGAGUACCGUACGAAUAAGCAUCGGCUAACUCCGUGCCAGCAGCCGCGGUCAUACGGGGGAUGCAAGCGUUAUCCGGAUUUAUUGGGUUUAAAGGGUGCGUAGGCUGUGAGGUAAGUCAGCGGUGAAAUGCCCCCGCUCAACGGGGUGAAGUGCCAUUGAUACUGCCUGGCUGGAAUGCGGAUGCCGUGGGAGGAAUGUGUGGUGUAGCGGUGAAAUGCAUAGAUAUCACACAGAACACCGAUUGCGAAGGCAUCUCACGAAGCCGCGAUUGACGCUGAUGCACGAAAGCGUGGGUAUCAAACAGGAUUAGAUACCCGAGUAGUC
rnacentral:rRNA from 1 species